rnacentral:lncRNA from 1 species
AAAAAUGUACAUAUUUCUACUUAUUUUUAUAAUUAUUAUUUAAAAUAUAAGCACAAAAAAUAAAUAUUACAUAGAACAUAUAAACAAAUGCUUUUAGUUUGCAAAUGCACAUUCAUACAUAUAUACCUAUACCCUAUAACUUUGCUAAAAAUGCUUUGUAAUUCAUCUCCAAUCACAAUUCAUUCCAUGUGGCGUGUGUCCCGAAUGAGAGAAGUGCAGAAUGUGUACUUGAUUUCAUGGCGACGUCUCUCCCAUUAUAUAUGGGAGAGACGCCAAACCUCGUUGAUCUUAGACCUUCAUGGUCAAGAUGGUGAAACUAGACUGAAAACAUUCAGAGCUAAUCUUAUUGUUGCUAGAAACCUCAAACACUCAUCAUAUU